rnacentral:rRNA from 1 species
AUCAGAGGGGGAUAACGAUUGGAAACGAUCGCUAAUACCGCAUGACAUAGCGGAACCGCAUGGUUCUGUUAUCAAAGAUUUUAUCGCUGAUAGAUGGGCUCGCGUCCGAUUAGAUAGUUGGUGGGGUAACGGCCUACCAAGUCGACGAUCGGUAGCCGGACUGAGAGGUCGAACGGCCACAUUGGGACUGAGACACGGCCCAGACUCCUACGGGAGGCAGCAGUGGGGGAUAUUGCACAAUGGGGGAAACCCUGAUGCAGCGACGCCGCGUGAGGGAAAACGGUCCUCUGGAUUGUAAACCUCUGUCUUCGGGGACGAAACGAGACGGUACCCGAGGAGGAAGCCACGGCUAACUACGUGCCAGCAGCCGCGGUAAUACGUAGGUGGCAAGCGUUGUCCGGAAUUACUGGGUGUAAAGGGAGCGUAGGCGGGCAGGCAAGUCAGGCGUGAAAUAUAUCGGCUCAACCGGUAACGGCGCUUGAAACUGCAGGUCUUGAGUGAAGUAGAGGUUGGCGGAAUUCCUAGUGUAGCGGUGAAAUGCGUA